CUCCGUAGGUGAACCUGCGGAGGGAUCAUUACCGAGUUUACAACUCCCAAACCCCUGUGAACAUACCAAUUGUUGCCUCGGCGGAUCAGCCCGCUCCCGGUAAAACGGGACGGCCCGCCAGAGGACCCCUAAACUCUGUUUCUAUAUGUAACUUCUGAGUAAAACCAUAAAUAAAUCAAAACUUUCAACAACGGAUCUCUUGGUUCUGGCAUCGAUGAAKAMCKCCARMAAAAUGCGAUAAGUAAUGUGAAUUGCAGAAUUCAGUGAAUCAUCGAAUCUUUGAACGCACAUUGCGCCCGCCAGUAUUCUGGCGGGCAUGCCUGUUCGAGCGUCAUUUCAACCCUCAAGCCCAGCUUGGUGUUGGGACUCGCGAGUCAAAUCGCGUUCCCCAAAUUGAUUGGCGGUCACGUCGAGCUUCCAUAGCGUAGUAGUAAAACCCUCGUUACUGGUAAUCGUCGCGGCCACGCCGUUAAACCCCAACUUCUGAAUGUUUACCUCGGAUCAGGUAGGAAUACCCGCUGAACUUAAGCAUAUCAAUAAGCGGAGGA
rnacentral:rRNA from 1 species